GCAAGUCGAGGGGUAACAGAGUAGCUUGCUAUUGCUGACGAGCGGCGCACGGGUGCGUAUCGCGUAUAGAAUAUACCUUGUACUGAGGGAGAGCCUUUGGAAACGAAGAUUAAGCCCUCAUGGUAUGCUAGUGUGGCAUCAAAAUAUCAUUAAAGGUUACGGUAUAAGAUGACUAUGCGUUCUAUUAGCUAGAUGGUAAGGUAACGGCUUACCAUGGCUACGAUAGAUAGGGGCCCUGAGAGGGGGAUC
rnacentral:rRNA from 1 species